rnacentral:rRNA from 1 species
AUCAACGCUGGCGGCGUGCCUCAGACAUGCAAGUCGAACGCGAAAGUCCCCUUCGGGGGACAAGUAGAGUGGCGCACGGGUGAGUAACACGUAGGUAAUCUACCUUUGGAUGGGGAAUAACAACCGGAAACGGUUAGCUAAUACCGCAUAAUGCAGCGGCACCUAAUGGUGACAGUUGUUAAAGCGGGGAUUGAAGACCUCGCGUCUGAAGAGGAGCCUGCGGCGGAUUAGCUUGUUGGAAGGUAACGGCUUACCAAGGCGACGAUCCGUAGCCGGCCUGAGAGGGCGGUCGGCCACGACUGACACUGACAUACGGGUCAGACUCCUACGGGAGGCAGCAGUCGGGAAUUUUGGGCAAUGGGCGAAAGCCUGACCCAGCAACGCCGCGUG